AUGAAGUUGACAGUUGGCACUCACUGGACGAUUAAGCAGAAUCACCUGGGAACUUUACCCGACCACCUAUGGACCCGCCGCCUAGACUGUGAUAUACAUCACCCCUCUCCCGCGGGGCUGGAAUCCACCACACUGGAUCCUCAGGGACUCUGCUUCAAAAAACACGUUCAUGUGGUCUCAGCUCAGCUACUCACCAAAUCCCAAAAUGCUACGAAAAUUGAAUGGCUCCACUUUGAAAAGAAAAGGUUUAAAAAUGAGAGAACCAAAGAACUGGCAGUUGGAGACCAGGCAUCUAGGAAGUACGAAGCUAUGGUAUCAUGA
rnacentral:lncRNA from 1 species